CAAUAGCGUAUAUUUAAGUUGCUGCAGUUAAAAAGCUCGUAGUUGGAUUUCGGGUGGGAAUGGCCGGUCCGCCGUUUCGGUGUGCACUUGCUACGCCCACCUUGCUGCCGGGGACGUGCUCUUGAGGUUCGGCUCGGGACACGGAGUCGGCGAGGUUACUUUGAGUAAAUUAGAGUGUUCAAAGCAGGCCUACGCUCUGAAUACAUUAGCAUGGAAUAACACGAUAGGACUCUGGCCUAUCUUGUUGGUCUGUAGGACCGGAGUAAUGAUUAAGAGGGACAGUCGGGGGCAUUCGUAUUUCAUUGUCAGAGGUGAAAUUCUUGGAUUUAUGAAAGACGAACUACUGCGAAAGCAUUUGCCAAGGAUGUUUUCAUUAA
rnacentral:rRNA from 1 species